CAGGCCUCUGCAGCCCAAAUGUUUGGCGUUAGCGAGGACGGAAAGUGCCACGCAUACCCAACCACCCGCCUAGGCGGCGUAUAGUAAUAGGGUCCGCCCUGCACCCCCCCCCGAAGUUCAGGGGGGACCUGAGGACCACCGGCAUUAGCACAAUGCGAGUGGGCAGGCGGUAGCAAUAGGGUCACUCGCGGAACGGAGCAGUCACACGUGGGAUGUACCCUUCGGUUCGGCACAACUACCGGGAAAACUGACGCUAAUACCGAUACGCCCUUAACGGCGAAAGAUUUAUCGCCGAAGGAUCAGCCCGCGUGGAUUAGCUAGUUGGUGAGGUAAUGGCUCACAAAGGCGACGAUCCGUAGUGGUCUGAAAGGAUGAUCAGCCACACUGGGACUGAGACACG
rnacentral:rRNA from 1 species